rnacentral:rRNA from 1 species
CCUACGGGAGGCAGCAGUGAGGAAUAUUGGUCAAUGGCCGGGAGGCUGAACCAGCGAAGUCGCGUGAGGGAAGACGGCCCUACGGGUUGUAAACCUCUUUUGUCAGGGAGCAAGGUGCAGGUCGGGACCAGCUGUGAGAGUACCUGAAGAAAAAGCAUCGGCUAACUACGUGCCAGCAGCCGCGGUAAUACGGAGGAUGCGAGCGUUAUCCGGAUUUGGUGGGGUAAAAGGGUGCGCAGGCGGAGGCACAAGUCAGCGGUAAAGGCCCGGGGCUAAACCCCGGCGAGCUGUUGAAACUGGCUGUCUUGAGAUGUCGAGAGGUAUGCGGAAUGCGCAGUGUAGCGGUGAAAUGCGUAGAUAUUGCGCAGAACUCCGAUUGCGAAGGCAGCAUACCGGCGGCGAUCUGACGCUGAGGCACGAAAGCGUGGGUAUCGAACAGGAUUAGAUACCCUAGUAGUC